rnacentral:rRNA from 1 species
GUUAUAUGGUCAAGUGAAGAAGCGCAUACGGUGGAUGCCUUGGCAGUCAGAGGCGAUGAAAGACGUGGUAGCCUGCGAAAAGCUUCGGGGAGUCGGCAAACAGACUGUGAUCCGGAGGUAUCUGAAUGGGGGAACCCAGCCAUCAUAAGAUGGUUAUCUUGUACUGAAUACAUAGGUGCAAGAGGCGAACCAGGGGAACUGAAACAUCUAAGUACCCUGAGGAAAAGAAAUCAACCGAGAUUCCCUUAGUAGUGGCGAGCGAACGGGGACCAGCCCUUAAGUUGUAUUGAGAUUAGCGGAACACUCUGGAAAGGGUGGCCAUAGUGGGUGAUAGCCCUGUACGCGAAAAUCCCUUUGCAAUGAAAUCGAGUAGGACGGGGCACGAGAAACCUUGUCUGAAUAUGGGGGGACCAUCCUCCAAGGCUAAAUACUACUGACUGACCGAUAGUGAACCAGUACCGUGAGGGAAAGGCGAAAAGAACCGCGGAGAGCGGAGUGAAAUAGAUCCUGAAACCGUAUGCGUACAAGCAGUGGGAGCCCACUUUGUUGGGUGACUGCGUACCUUUUGUAUAAUGGGUCAGCGACUUAUUUUCAGUGGCGAGCUUAACCGAAUAGGGGAGGCGUAGCGAAAGCGAGUCUUAAUAGGGCGUCUAGUCGCUGGGAAUAGACCCGAAACCGGGCGAUCUAUCCAUGGGCAGGUUGAAGGUUGGGUAACACUAACUGGAGGACCGAACCGACUACCGUUGAAAAGUUAGCGGAUGACCUGUGGAUCGGAGUGAAAGGCUAAUCAAGCUCGGAGAUAGCUGGUUCUCCUCGAAAGCUAUUUAGGUAGCGCCUCAUGUAUCACUGUAGGGGGUAGAGCACUGUUUCGGCUAGGGGGUCAUCCCGACUUACCAAACCGAUGCAAACUCCGAAUACCUACAAGUGCCGAGCAUGGGAGACACACGGCGGGUGCUAACGUCCGUCGUGAAAAGGGAAACAACCCAGACCGUCAGCUAAGGUCCCAAAGUCAUGGUUAAGUGGGAAACGAUGUGGGAAGGCUUAGACAGCUAGGAGGUUGGCUUAGAAGCAGCCACCCUUUAAAGAAAGCGUAAUAGCUCACUAGUCGAGUCGGCCUGCGCGGAAGAUGUAACGGGGCUCAAACCAUGCACCGAAGCUACGGGUAUCAUCUUUUGAUGAUGCGGUAGAGGAGCGUUCUGUAAGCCUGUGAAGGUGAGUUGAGAAGCUUGCUGGAGGUAUCAGAAGUGCGAAUGCUGACAUGAGUAACGACAAUGGGUGUGAAAAACACCCACGCCGAAAGACCAAGGUUUCCUGCGCAACGUUAAUCGACGCAGGGUUAGUCGGUCCCUAAGGCGAGGCUGAAAAGCGUAGUCGAUGGAAAACAGGUUAAUAUUCCUGUACUUCUGGUUAUUGCGAUGGAGGGACGGAGAAGGCUAGGCCAGCCUGGCGUUGGUUGUCCAGGUUUAAGGUGGUAGGCUGAGAUCUUAGGUAAAUCCGGGAUCUUAAGGCCGAGAGCUGAUGACGAGUGUUCUUUUAGAACACGAAGUGGUUGAUGCCAUGCUUCCAAGAAAAGCUUCUAAGCUUCAGGUAACCAGGAACCGUACCCCAAACCGACACAGGUGGUUGGGUAGAGAAUACCAAGGCGCUUGAGAGAACUCGGGUGAAGGAACUAGGCAAAAUGGCACCGUAACUUCGGGAGAAGGUGCGCCGGUGAGGGUGAAGCAUUUACUGCGUAAGCCCAUGCCGGUCGAAGAUACCAGGCCGCUGCGACUGUUUAUUAAAAACACAGCACUCUGCAAACACGAAAGUGGACGUAUAGGGUGUGACGCCUGCCCGGUGCCGGAAGGUUAAUUGAUGGGGUUAGCGCAAGCGAAGCUCUUGAUCGAAGCCCCGGUAAACGGCGGCCGUAACUAUAACGGUCCUAAGGUAGCGAAAUUCCUUGUCGGGUAAGUUCCGACCUGCACGAAUGGCGUAACGAUGGCGGCGCUGUCUCCACCCGAGACUCAGUGAAAUUGAAAUCGCUGUGAAGAUGCAGUGUAUCCGCGGCUAGACGGAAAGACCCCGUGAACCUUUACUAUAGCUUUGCACUGGACUUUGAAUUUGCUUGUGUAGGAUAGGUGGGAGGCUUUGAAGCGUGGACGCCAGUCUGCGUGGAGCCAACCUUGAAAUACCACCCUGGCAACUUUGAGGUUCUAACUCAGGUCCGUUAUCCGGAUCGAGGACAGUGUAUGGUGGGUAGUUUGACUGGGGCGGUCUCCUCCUAAAGAGUAACGGAGGAGUACGAAGGUGCGCUCAGACCGGUCGGAAAUCGGUCGUAGAGUAUAAAGGCAAAAGCGCGCUUGACUGCGAGACAGACACGUCGAGCAGGUACGAAAGUAGGUCUUAGUGAUCCGGUGGUUCUGUAUGGAAGGGCCAUCGCUCAACGGAUAAAAGGUACUCCGGGGAUAACAGGCUGAUACCGCCCAAGAGUUCAUAUCGACGGCGGUGUUUGGCACCUCGAUGUCGGCUCAUCACAUCCUGGGGCUGAAGCCGGUCCCAAGGGUAUGGCUGUUCGCCAUUUAAAGUGGUACGCGAGCUGGGUUUAGAACGUCGUGAGACAGUUCGGUCCCUAUCUGCCGUGGACGUUUGAGAUUUGAGAGGGGCUGCUCCUAGUACGAGAGGACCGGAGUGGACGAACCUCUGGUGUUCCGGUUGUCACGCCAGUGGCAUUGCCGGGUAGCUAUGUUCGGAAAAGAUAACCGCUGAAAGCAUCUAAGCGGGAAACUUGCCUCAAGAUGAGAUCUCACUGGAACCUUGAGUUCCCUAAAGGGCCGUCGAAGACUACGACGUUGAUAGGUUGGGUGUGUAAGCGCUGUGAGGCGUUGAGCUAACCAAUACUAAUUGCCCGUGAGGCUUGACCAUAUAACACCCAAGCAAUU